UCGCGUCUCUCUCUCUCUCUCUCUCUCUCUCUCUCCGUCGUGCGCUGUGUGUGCUGCUCGCCGUCCGCCGGGCUAGCCCAGCCUGCCGUCGUCGGCCUGCGCGCCGCCGCCGCCGCUGCUGCGUGCGCGCGCUGUUGCCGUGUGCCGUCGCCGUUGCCGCGCGCCGCCCUGCGCCUCGCCGAGUGCCACCGCGCCUGCUGCGCGCGCCGCGCGUUGCCGAGCCACCGUCGCGCUGUGCUGCUGCGUUGCUGCCGCGCGCCACCGUGGUCUCCCGAUCUCCCUGUGUACUGACCGAGUGACAGAGAAGAAGCAAGCAAAACCAGCACAGGAAGAAGAAGCCAGUAAGAAAAGGAAGAAAGAGAAAGAAAAAAAAAAGAAAAAGAAGAAAAGGGAAAAAAAUUGGAAAUUUCGGAUUUUCGUCGGAUUCGUCGUCAAUCCUUCGCAGGUGGUGCAACCUCACGUCACGACUAGUGCCCGGCUUCAUCGUCGGUUCCUUUUGAGGUGUCAAUCGCUUGCGGGAUGGGUAGCUACACGUCGCCUGCACGUUUACCUUCUCUCUUGGGCUAAACUUGAUGCUCUGUUAGAUUUUGUCUUUUGCCCUGUAAUGUAUAUAAUGAGUUUGAUGGUGGUUCA